ACUCCUACGGGAGGCAGCAGUGGGGAAUUUUUCGCAAUGGGGGCAACCCUGACGAAGCAAUGCCGCGUGGAUGAUGAAGUAUCUCGGUACGUAAAAUCCUUUCGACGGGGACGAAGCCGCAAGGUUGACGGUACCCGUAGAAGAAGCCCCGGCUAACUCCGUGCCAGCAGCCGCGGUAAUACGGGGGGGGCAAGCGUUGUUCGGAAUUACUGGGCGUAAAGGGUGCGUAGGCGGCUUUCUAAGUCGGAUGUGAAAACUCUGGGCUCAACCCAGAGCCUGCAUCCGAAACUGGAGAGCUAGGGUUCUGGAGGGGAAAGCGGAAUUCCUGGUGUAGCGGUGAAAUGUGUAGAUAUCAGGAGGAACACCGGUGGCGAAGGCGGCUUUCUGGACAGAUACCGACGCUGAGGCACGAAAGCUAGGGGAGCAAACAGGAUUAGAUACCCUGGUAGUCCUAGCCCUAAACUAUGGAUACUU
rnacentral:rRNA from 1 species